UACAUGUAACAGUUAAAAUCGAUAGCUUGAAUUAUAUCAUAGCUCUUUUAAGUAAGAGCAUACUUUAUUAAAUAAAACAGAAUAAAAUGUGAUCUACUAAUAAACCUAAACUUAAAUAGAACCUAUAAAUAUUAAAAUAUAUAUAAAUAAUAUAAUUGUUACGUUCACUUCACUCUCACUGCACUAACUCAUUGUUACUACUACUCGACAACAGGUGUCGCUAUUAUUACCGCUACUCGGCAACAGAUGGCGCCAUGUGUCCAAAGAGUUAAAAUAAAUACAGCUGUUUUCAUUUUUAUAAACAUACGUAUUCUUUAGGGUUUUAAUUUCUGUCUUGUUAAAUAUUCUGCUAAUUCAAUUAUUAAACUACAAUAUUGGAAAUAAUUAGUGCGCAUGGCAUUAAUGAAGGUCAAUGCGCAUAGUCAAAACAUUGCGCAUUCGCAUUCGAGUCGAUCGACCUGCGAACGGAACGGAACUGUCAGUGCUAACAAGAGCCUCUUCGUUUCGUUGUGCUGUUUUUGGUGCUGAGUGUUUGUAAAAAGUUACUAGCUUUUGGUUUUGUUUUGGUGCUUGUGUACAAUAGAAUUACAGAGGCAUGGCCCGGGGGCAGCGGCGGUAUUCCCGAAAAAAUAGGAAAGCUGAAAUUUAGAAGAAAAAAAAUAUUAAAUAAAGAUAUAAGAAGAGAUGUAAGAAGGCAAGCUGACAAUGGGAUGGUAUGUCUGCAAAGCCAAUCAUAAAGAACCAAAUAAACUGCUUAUGGGCUUAUGGUUAUAUUAAACCGAUUGCAUGUAUCUAUAUACUCUAAGCAUGUAUCAUAUUUGUUUUCUCAGCCUCACACUUUAACUCAGGUUCGCUGAAGCAUCGGCAAGCUGAAUGUGAGAUGGUAUGUUGAUGUCCUGUACAUUGACACGGAAAUGAGGCAUUGAAGAUGUUAUGUUGGGGACAAUGCAUGAUAGAACAG